GACUGUCACAUUCUCUUUCUACAACAGACUGUUACAACCUAGAACACAUUUCCAUGGAGACCUCCAUAGUCUGCUAAGGAUGAUGAAAGAGCUCAUCUAUGACCAUGACAACAAGGUUUCUCUAUAACUUUAACAACAUUUUAAUGGAGACGUGCUUAGUCUGGGGAGUCUAGCCUUGCCAUGUCUUAAGGAAUGUUUUGUUCACAGCUUAAGCAAAGGUCUGCUUACAGGCUGGUGGGAGUUUCCUUUAUGGGUAUGCUUUCUUAGGUGAUAGAUAACAAGGGUGAAUGAGUUCAGCUUUGAGAGAAAGGAAGGGAGGGCUGGGCAGAACAUUCCUAGUUACUGAGCAGAGAGAGGGGAGGGGCAUUGUGGUUGUCAUGGAAACCUGGGGACUUUGUCGACUGCUUUUCAGUAGCUACCUAGGUGAUUAUGUAGUGCUGGGAAUUCUCUGCAGCCAAGUUUAUGGGUUCCCAGGGGUGAGCACUCGAAUCUCUCUGAGGAUGGAAAGACAGAUACAGGGAUCCCAGACACAAUUUUGCUUUGCUUUCAGACAGCAUUUCAUUGUGUCUUAACCUGGCUUAGAACUCUAAAUGAUCGUCCUACCUCAGUUUUCUGGUGAUGAGAGUACAAUUGUGAGAGUACCUGUGUGUUGCCAUCUUUUGUGGUACCCGCUCUACCAUGUGACCCUGACUCUCUUCAGAAUCCCCUGCCAUGCUGCUGCCUGCACACCUACUGUUUUAAUAUCGCUAAUAAAUCUCUUAUAAAAUGA